GACUCUCGGCAACGGAUAUCUCGGCUCACGCAUCGAUGAAGAACGUAGCAAAAUGCGAUACUUGGUGUGAAUUGCAGAAUCCCGUGAACCAUCGAGUUUUUGAACGCAAGUUGCGCCCUAAGCCAUCCGGUUGAGGGCAYGCCUGCCUGGGCGUCAYGCAUCGU
rnacentral:rRNA from 1 species